CGGUCCAGACUCCUACGGGAGGCAGCGGUGGGGAAUAUUGCACAAUGGGCGCAAGCCUGAUGCAGCCAUGCCGCGUGUGUGAAGAAGGCUCUAGGGUUGUAAAGCACUUUCAGUCGGGAGGAAAGGUUAUCAGUUAAUACCUGGUAGCUGUGACGUUACCGACAGGAGAAGCACCGGCUAACUCCGUGCCAGCAGCCGCGGUAA
rnacentral:rRNA from 1 species